GGCGCCAUCGUCUAAUGGUUAGGACACCGGGUUUUCAACCCGGUAACGGGGGUUCAAUUCCCCCUGGCGCUA
rnacentral:tRNA from 1 species